GAGCGAGCACCGUGCCGUGCUGGCAUCUCCCCUCCUCUGGAAGCUGGGUGCUGAUUUCACUCUGGCUACCAGGAAGAGGGAGGGAGGUGGCUUUAGAGUGGGGAGGACUCACUCAAGCAUCCAUAUUUAAUGAGCUAGAUAUCUAUUUUUCCCCGAGCUGGCUUCCCCCACAUCGAUCCCUUUGCAUGCUCCCCUCCCCGUGCCAGCAGCUCUACAGCAGUGGGGAGCAGCAGGACGAGCAUCCCUGGCAGUGGGACCCUCAUGCCACCCCAAAUCCUGCUCCCGGGGAAGGAGUGACCCCCACUUGGGCCAGGGGUUUCUCCCUGCUGGAGAGGUGAUCCAUGCCAGCUCUGGCACAGGGGAAGCAGGAGCAGGAGCAGGAU
rnacentral:lncRNA from 12 species